rnacentral:rRNA from 1 species
UACAGAGGUCUCAAGCGUUGUUCGGAAUCACUGGGCGUAAAGGGUGCGUAGGCGGCGGGGUAAGUCAGGUGUGAAAUCUCAAGGCUCAACCUUGAAAUUGCACUUGAUACUGCGGUGCUUGAGGACUGGAGAGGAGACUGGAAUUCACGGUGUAGCAGUGAAAUGCGUAGAUAUCGUGAGGAAGACCAGUGGCGAAGGCGGGUCUCUGGACAGUUCCUGACACUGAGGCACGAAGGCCAGGGGAGCAAACGGG